rnacentral:rRNA from 1 species
ACAUGCAAGUCGAACGAUGAUCCGGUGCUUGCGCCGGGGAUUAGUGGCGAACGGGUGAGUAACACGUGAGUAACCUGCCCUUGACUCUGGGAUAAGCCUGGGAAACUGGGUCUAAUACCGGAUAUGACUCCUCAUCGCAUGGUGGGGGGUGGAAAGCUUUUGUGGUUUUGGAUGGACUCGCGGCCUAUCAGCUUGUUGGUGAGGUAAUGGCUCACCAAGGCGACGACGGGUAGCCGGCCUGAGAGGGUGACCGGCCACACUGGGACUGAGACACGGCCCAGACUCCUACGGGAGGCAGCAGUGGGGAAUAUUGCACAAUGGGCGAAAGCCUGAUGCAGCGACGCCGCGUGAGGGAUGACGGCCUUCGGGUUGUAAACCUCUUUCAGUAGGGAAGAAGCGAAAGUGACGGUACCUGCAGAAGAAGCGCCGGCUAACUACGUGCCAGCAGCCGCGGUAAUACGUAGGGCGCAAGCGUUAUCCGGAAUUAUUGGGCGUAAAGAGCUCGUAGGCGGUUUGUCGCGUCUGCCGUGAAAGUCCGGGGCUCAACUCCGGAUCUGCGGUGGGUACGGGCAGACUAGAGUGAUGUAGGGGAGACUGGAAUUCCUGGUGUAGCGGUGAAAUGCGCAGAUAUCAGGAGGAACACCGAUGGCGAAGGCAGGUCUCUGGGCAUUAACUGACGCUGAGGAGCGAAAGCAUGGGGAGCGAACAGGAUUAGAUACC